rnacentral:rRNA from 1 species
GACGAACGCUGGCGGCGUGCUUAACACAUGCAAGUCGAACGGAAAGGCCCUGCUUUUGUGGGGUGCUCGAGUGGCGAACGGGUGAGUAACACGUGAGUAACCUGCCCUUGACUUUGGGAUAACGUCAGGAAACUGGGGUUAUUACCGGGUAGUACUUCCUCCUGCAGGGGGGGGGUUGGAACGUUUCGGCGGUUGGGGAUGGCCUCGCGGCUUAUCGUCUUGUUGGUGGGGUAGUGGCUUACCAAGGCUUGGUCGGGUAGCCGGCCUGGGAGGGUGACCGGCAACAUUGGGACUGGGAUACGGCCCAGACUCCUACGGGAGGCAGCAGUGGGGAAUAUUGCACAAUGGGCGGAAGCCUGAUGCAGCAACGCCGCGUGCGGGAUGACGGCCUUCGGGUUGUAAACCGCUUUCGCCUGUGACGAAGCGUGAGUGACGGUAAUGGGUAAAGAAGCACCGGCUAACUACGUG